CCAGCUCUCUUUGCCUUUUGGCUUAGAUCAAGUGUAGUAUCUGUUCUUUUCAGUUUAAUCUCUGAAAGUGUUCCAAGGAACACAGCAUUGAUUAAUCUCAUUUUUGGACCCCGUGGCGGGGCCUCUGUGCUUGCGCAUGCCCUGCCACACAGUGUCAUCGGGCUUACACUAUCCCCGAUCGACGCGACUUUUU
rfam:Aspergillus terreus NIH2624 scaffold_15 genomic scaffold, whole genome shotgun sequence.